UGCCCCUGCCAAAGAGGUGGACACCUUGGUGGGCCUGGAAUUUGGAGUUUGGUCACGCUGGGUCUGUUGGCUGAGCUCCUGGGAGCCAAGGAGCAGAGGCAGAAUCUGUCGCAGGAUCGGGCCUAGAGACAUACAGAACAGAGGGGUAGCAGUGUGGCGCAGGGAGAGCCCGAAGUCGCCAGAGGCCAGAGGGAAGGUAUGCGGCCCUGUGACACCUUGCUCGUGGACUUCCGGCCUCCAGGACUUCACAGCCUGUUCUCGACGGGCCUGCCCAUUGGAGCUGGGGAAAGCUGCCUGCCUGCCCAAUUCUCGGUGACGACUGUGGGGACAGUGAUGGCGAAGGGGGUGUGUGGUGGCCAGUAAGGCAUCAUUAACAUGGUGGAGGUGAGUAGGGUAGCAUUUCUGACGUGGAGGCAGUGGUGAGGGUGAGAGUAAGUAUGGCGGUGAUAGUGGAGUUGAUAAUGACAGACGAGGUGCUGGUGGUGGUGACACUGACCCUGGACGUGUAACAAUGGACGGGAUGGACGGUCAUUGGGCACCAUUGAUAGUGACAGUGGAGGUGUGAUGGGGAGGUGAUGGAAAGGCUACUAUUGGGGAGGGUGGUCAUGGCAGCCAUGGUCCUGGAGGUGGUGACGUUGGUGACGGUGAUGGUGACGAAGGCAAUGGAGUAGAGGAAGUUGCGUGUUGUACAGCUUUGCUUUGGUAACAACCCCCACAUCCCAGAGCCUUAUGACAGCCAUUGAGGCCUUGCCCACUUCUGUCAGCUGCUGGGGUUCCAACUCGUACGUCUUCUCAUCUGGGAUUCCGGAUGAGGAAGGGCUCCGGUCUGGAACGUGGCGUUCUCGUGGCAGAGAGGGUGGGAGAAAGAGCCGGGCGAAAGGCAGAGUGCCUCUGGAAACUUCUCCCGGGAUGGGAUGUAUAUCACCCUUGCUCCUGCCAUGAGGCCAAGGCCAGCAUCAGCGAGGACCUGUGACAGCAAUGGAGGGCUUGCUGACAACAGUCACGAUGUGCUCUAGCUACGGUGUUGAUGCUGAUGGUAAUGAAGCAGCAGGGCCCCUGGUUCUCUAACUGCAUUACCUUCAGGAUGGAUGGGUGACAGCGAUGGAUGGGCCACUGGAUGGACAGUGACAGGUGAGUGAAGGGACUGAAUGAUGGACAGCUAUAAGGGUGGCUAGAUGGUUGAACAGAAAACUGGGAGGUUCAGAGCUCAGCCUGUCAGGUCAGACAGCUCUGCCGUUUACCAGCUGUGUGUUCUUGGGGAAGUCACUUAACCUCUCUGUGUCUCACUUUCUACAUCUCAUCUGUAAAGUGGGAAUAAUAAUAGCAUUUCCUCACAGGAUUGCUGUGAGAACAGCUUAGAACAGAGAAAAGGCUGUGUAUGUGGGUUUGCUAGCCUAACGGGUGGAUAGACGGAUGGAUGGAAGAACAGACAGACAGAUGAAUGAAGGGAAGGGGUAGUAGAUGGACAGGUCUGUGGAAGGAUGGGUAGAAGGGUCGAUGAGCAUAUAAACUGGUGCGCUGAUGGAGGGCUGGUCAGGUGGUGGGUUACUAGACAGGUAGAAGAGACAGUGAACGCCCAGUGCCAGGCAGGGAGGCGUGGGAAGGGUGGGCGGCCUCUCUUCUUCUCCAGAGGUAACAGGACAAUCUCAGCUUAGGUCCUGACACAGACGUGGCUCAGACCUGCUUUCCCUCCCCCAAGACAUCCAGGAAAGUGUCUUGUUCAACCCUCCUGGCCUGUGGUAAUGGGUGCCCACUGGGUCCCCAGGAUCCUUUCCCCUCAACCCCUACCCGGGUAACACCCUUCCUGGUGGUGGUCCACGUGGUCUCUGGAAGCUCAGUUCUAGCCUCCAGUGGAAGGUUACUGCCUGAGCAAAGGCAUCAUUUGUGGGGACCCCACCCCCCCGCCGAGUUCCAAAGUGCACCAGCCUGUUAGGGCAGCCACUCUCCUCCCUCCAACCAUAGUGCCCUAGUCUUCAGCCCAUACCUGCAUGGGGCAACUCUAGGCAGAGCUCUGAUCCAACUUCCAACAGCUCAUCCUAAGCCUCCAGGAGGAUUCAACCCCCACUGCCUACAUACACACCAUGGACCUCUGUAGCUUCUGGAAUGUGGGGCAUCCUGGGUCUUUCUGGAAAGAGUAUAGAACAAAGAAGCCUGAAGUAUCUUCCAGAGUCAAGACCUACAUGCAUAUGUGCAUAUUCAUACCAGCAAUCAUCCACACACUUAUCACCCACUUACCCAUCUAUCCAUCUAUCCAUCCAUCCAUCCACCU